UACGGAGGAUGCGAGCGUUAUCCGGAUUUAUUGGGUUUAAAGGGUGCGUAGGCGGGCUUUUAAGUCAGCGGUAAAAAUUCGGGGCUCAACCCCGUCCGGCCGUUGAAACUGGGGGUCUUGAGUGGGCGAGAAGAAGGCGGAAUGCGUGGUGUAGCGGUGAAAUGCAUAGAUAUCACGCAGAACCCCGAUUGCGAGGGCAGCCUUCCGGCGCCCUACUGACGCUGAGGCACGAAAGUGCGGGGAUCGAACAGG
rnacentral:rRNA from 1 species